UACGUAGGGUGCAAGCGUUAAUCGGAAUUACUGGGCGUAAAGCGUGCGCAGGCGGUCUUGCAAGACAGAUGUGAAAUCCCCGGGCUCAACCUGGGAACUGCAUUUGUGACUGCAAGGCUGGAGUACGGUAGAGGGGGAUGGAAUUCCGCGUGUAGAGGUGAAAUUCGUAGAUAUUGGGAAGAACACCGAUGGCGAAGGCAGCCAUCUGGACCGACACUGACGCUGAGGCGCGAAAGCGUGGGGAGCAAACAGG
rnacentral:rRNA from 1 species